rnacentral:rRNA from 1 species
CCCUUAGACGUUCUGGGCCGCACGCGCGCUACACUGACCAGUGCAACAAGCAUCCGUCCUUGGCCGACAGGCCUGGGCAAUCUUUGAACGCUGGUCGUGAUGGGGAUAGACUUUUGCAAUUUUUGGUCUUCAACGAGGAAUUCCUAGUAAACGCAAGUCAUCAACUUGCAUUGAUUACGUCCCUGCCCUUUGUACACACCGCCCGUCGCACCUACCGAUUGAAUGGUCCGGUGAAAUCCUCGGAUCGAGCCGUGGGGCAACUCCGGUUCGAGAAGUUGAUUAAACCUUACCAUUUAGAGGAAGGUGAAGUCGUAACA